rnacentral:rRNA from 1 species
AUUGAACGCUGGCGGCAGGCCUAACACAUGCAAGUCGAGCGGAUGAAGGGAGCUUGCUCCCUGAUUUAGCGGCGGACGGGUGAGUAAUGCCUAGGAAUCUGCCUGGUAGUGGGGGAUAACGUUCCGAAAGGAACGCUAAUACCGCAUACGUCCUACGGGAGAAAGCAGGGGACCUUCGGGCCUUGCGCUAUCAGAUGAGCCUAGGUCGGAUUAGCUAGUUGGUGAGGUAAAGGCUCACCAAGGCGACGAUCCGUAACUGGUCUGAGAGGAUGAUCAGUCACACUGGAACUGAGACACGGUCCAGACUCCUACGGGAGUCAGCAGUGGGGAAUAUUGGACGAUGGGCGAAAGCCUGAUCCAGCCAUGCCGCGUGUGUGAAGAAGGUCUUCGGAUUGUAAAGCACUUUAAGUUGGGAGGAAGGGCAUUAACCUAAUACGUUAGUGUUUUGACGUUACCGACAGAAUAAGCACCGGCUAACUUCGUGCCAGCAGCCGCCGUAAAAC